GACGAACGCUGGCGGCGUGCCUAAUACAUGCAAGUCGAACGCACUCUCGUUUAGAUUGAAGGAGCUUGCUCCUGAUUGAUAAACAUUUGAGUGAGUGGCGGACGGGUGAGUAACACGUGGGUAACCUGCCCUAAAGUGGGGGAUAACAUUUGGAAACAGAUGCUAAUACCGCAUAAAACCUAACACCGCAUGGUGUAGGGUUGAAAGAUGGUUUCGGCUAUCACUUUAGGAUGGACCCGCGGUGCAUUAGUUAGUUGGUUGAGGUAAAGGCUCACCAAGACCGUGAUGCAUAGCCGACCUGAGAGGGUAAUCGGCCACACUGGGACUGAGACAUGGCCCAGA
rnacentral:rRNA from 1 species